rnacentral:rRNA from 1 species
GGGGAAAAAUUUAUUUUUGGUUAUUGGGAGACUCCAUGGGCGAUUGAUUUAGCGGCCGCGAAUUCGCCCUUAGAGUUUGAUCCUGGCUGAGGAUGAACGCUAGCGGCAGGCUUAACACAUGCAAGUCGAACGGUAACAUGAAAGCUUGCUUUUGAUGACGAGUGGCGCACGGGUGCGUAACGCGUAUGCAAUCUACCCUUUACUGGAGAAUAGCCCUUGGAAACGAGGAAUAAUACUCCAUAGAAUAGCUGAAUCGCAUGGUUCUGGUUAUUAAAGCUUCGGCGGUAGAGGAUGAGCAUGCGUCCCAUUAGUUAGUUGGUAAGGUAACGGCUUACCAAGACUUCGAUGGGUAGGGGGCCUGAGAGGGUUAUCCCCCACACUGGUACUGAGACACGGACCAGACUCCUACGGGAGGCAGCAGUGAGGAAUAUUGGUCAAUGGACGAAAGUCUGAACCAGCCAUGCCGCGUGCAGGAUGACUGCCCUAUGGGUUGUAAACUGCUUUUAUAUAGGAAGAAACCCCCGAACGUGUUCGGGGCUGACGGUACUAUAAGAAUAAGGACCGGCUAACUCCGUGCCAGCAGCCGCGGUAAUACGGAGGGUCCAAGCAUUAUCCGGAUUUAUUGGGUUUAAAGGGUACGUAGGCGGAGUUUUAAGUCAGUAGUGAAAGCCCAUCGCUUAACGAUGGAACUGCUAUUGAUACUGAUACUCUUGAAUAUAGUUGAAGUGGGCGGAAUACGGCAUGUAGCGGUGAAAUGCAUAGAUAUGCCGUGGAACACCAAUCGCGAAGCAGCUCACUAAGCUAUUAUUGACGCUAAUGUACGAAAGCGUGGGUAGCGAACAGGAUUAGAUACCCUGGUAGUCCACGCCGUAAACGAUGAUUACUCGGUGCUGGCGAUAUACAGUCAGUGCCUAAGCGAAAGUGAUAAGUAAUCCACCUGGGGAGUACGAUCGCAAGGUUGAAACUCAAAGGAAUUGACGGGGCCCGCACAAGCGGUGAGCAUGUGUUUAAUUCGAUGAUACGCGAGAACCUUACUUGGGCUUAAAUGCAUAAUGACAGACCGGGAAACUGGUUUUUCUUCGACAGAAUGCAAGUGCUGCAUGCUGUCGUCAGCUCGUGCUGUGAGGUGUCGGUUAAUUCCAUAACGAGCGCAACCCCUAUUUUCUAUUGCAGCACAUAUUGUGGGGAAUCCUAAGAAACCGCCCCCGCCACCGUGAUAAAAAAAUAUGACAAACAUACAGUCAUACCGGCCCUCUGUCAGGCUACACACUGCUCUAAUUGGAGUGGACAAAGGAGAGCCCCUCUCUGCUACCAGGACAUAUCACUCUCAAAAAC